CCCGAAAAGUACGUCUCAGUUCGGAUUGGAGUCUGCAACUCGACUCCAUGAAGCUGGAUUCGCUAGUAAUCGCGCAUCAGCCAUGGCGCGGUGAAUACGUUCCCGGGCCCUGUACACACCGCCCGUCAAGCCAUGGAAGCCGGGGGUGCCUGAAGUGUGCAACCGCAAGGAGCGCCCUAAGGUAAAACUGGUGACUGGGGCUAAGUCGUAACAAGGUAAC
rnacentral:rRNA from 1 species